GACGAACGCUGGCGGCGUGCCUAAUACAUGCAAGUCGAACGCUUCUUUCCUCCCGAGUGCUUGCACUCCAUUGGAAAGAGGAGUGGCGGACGGGUGAGUAACACGUGGGUAACCUACCCAUCAGAGGGGGAUAACACUUGGAAACAGGUGCUAAUACCGCAUAACAGUUUAUGCCGCAUGGCAUAAGAGUGAAAGGCGCUUUCGGGUGUCGCUGAUGGAUGGACCCGCGGUGCAUUAGCUAGUUGGUGAGGUAACGGCUCACCAAGGCCACGAUGCACAGCCGACCUGAGAGGGUGAUCGGCCACACUGGGACUGAGACACGGCCCAGACUCCUACGGGAGGCAGCAGUAGGGAAUCUUCGGCAAUGGACGAAAGUCUGACCGAGCAACGCCGCGUGAGUGAAGAAGGUUUUCGGAUCGUAAAACUCUGUUGUUAGAGAAGAACAAGGACGUUAGUAACUGAACGUCCCCUGACGGUAUCUAACCAGAAAGCCACGGCUAACUACGCG
rnacentral:rRNA from 1 species